AGUGUAACUCAGGCCUCGGUGGUGGUAGGACGUACGCGCUCGGCUCUCCGGCAAGGGAAAAAAAAAAUCUUUGCACAUGAUUAUUUCACGGACUUGAUGCCCAGAUUUCGAGACGACGGGAAACCGAGAGGAGGGAAGUGAACACGAGAGUCGGCGGAUGAUGAGAGGAAACAGACGGAACCCGGGUGAUGAUUCGGAACAGUGAUAAUUAA